GGCGAGUGGCGAACGGGUGAGUAAUACAUCGGAACGUGCCCUGUAGUGGGGGAUAACUAGUCGAAAGAUUAGCUAAUACCGCAUACGACCUGAGGGUGAAAGUGGGGGACCGCAAGGCCUCAUGCUAUAGGAGCGGCCGAUGUCUGAUUAGCUAGUUGGUGAGGUAAAGGCUCACCAAGGCGACGAUCAGUAGCUGGUCUGAGAGGACGAUCAGCCACACUGGGACUGAGACACGGCCCAGACUCCUACGGGAGGCAGCAGUGGGGAAUUUUGGACAAUGGGCGAAAGCCUGAUCCAGCAAUGCCGCGUGUGUGAAGAAGGCCUUCGGGUUGUAAAGCACUUUUGUCCGGAAAGAAAUGGCUCUGGUUAAUACCUGGGGUCGAUGACGGUACCGGAAGAAUAAGGACCGGCUAACUACGUGCCAGCAGCCGCGGUAAUACGUAGGGUCCAAGCGUUAAUCGGAAUUACUGGGCGUAAAGCGUGCGCAGGCGGUUGUGCAAGACCGAUGUGAAAUCCCCGAGCUUAACUUGGGAAUUGCAUUGGUGACUGCACGGCUAGAGUGUGUCAGAGGGGGGUAGAAUUCCACGUGUAGCAGUGAAAUGCGUAGAUAUGUGGAGGAAUACCGAUGGCGAAGGCAGCCCCCUGGGAUAACACUGACGCUCAUGCACGA
rnacentral:rRNA from 1 species